CAAAAGAGUCACGUGAACACUAUUAUAUAAAAGUGUGGAUCAUAUUUCCUUAUGUUGGAUCAGGUGCAAAAUAGCUUAAGUGAGCUGUACUGUAAUUGUCAUUUUCUAUCAACAGUUCAUUGCGUUUAUUACUUAUAAUAUGUAAUGAGAUUUUUUUAAAAGAUAUGAGAAUGUAACAGACACAUAUUCUUAUAUAUUAUGACACAAUUUUCGACAUUUUCGGUCCUCAGUGUAUUUAACUUCAUGGUAUAUGCAUUUAUACAUUUUAGCCAGAGC
rnacentral:lncRNA from 1 species